rnacentral:rRNA from 1 species
UUUCGCAAUGCCCGAAAGGGUGACGAAGCGACGCCGCGUGCGGGAAGAAGGCCUUCGGGUUGUAAACCGCUGUCGGGAGUUAAGAAAUGUAAGGAUGUUAAUAGCAUCUUUGCUUGACUAAGGCUCCGGAGGAAGCCACGGCUAACUCUGUGCCAGCAGCCGCGGUAAUACGGAGGUGGCAAACGUUGCUCGGAAUUACUGGGCUUAAAGGGCGUGUAGGCGGUCGAUUAAGUCGGGUGUGAAAAACCUCGGCCCAACCGAGGAAUUGCAUUCGAUACUGAUCGGCUAGAGUGCGAGAGGGGCAAGUGGAACUCCAGGUGUAGCGGUGAAAUGCGUAGAUAUCUGGAGGAACGCCGGUGGCGAAAGCGACUUGCUAGCUCGUAACUGACGCUGAGGCGCGAAAGCCAGGGGAGCAACCGGGAUUAGAUACCCCGGUAGUCCUAGCCGUAAACGAUGGGCACUAAGUAGAGGGGUUUU